rnacentral:rRNA from 1 species
UACGUAGGGUGCAAGCGUUGUCCGGAAUUAUUGGGCGUAAAGAGCUCGUAGGCGGCCAGUUGCGUCUGCUGUGAAAUCCCGGGGCUCAACCCCGGGCGUGCAGUGGAUACGGGCUGGCUAGAGGCAGGCAGGGGAGAACGGAAUUCCCGGUGUAGCGGUGAAAUGCGCAGAUAUCGGGAGGAACACCGGUGGCGAAGGCGGUUCUCUGGGCCUGUACUGACGUUGAGGAGCGAAAGCGUGGGGAGGCGAACAGG